rnacentral:rRNA from 1 species
CCUACGGGGGGCAGCAGUGGGGAAUAUUGCGCAAUGGGCGAAAGCCUGACGCAGCGACGCCGCGUGAGGGAUGACGGCCUUCGGGUUGUAAACCUCUUUCAGCAGGGACGAAGCGAAAGUGACGGUACCUGCAGAAGAAGCACCGGCUAACUACGUGCCAGCAGCCGCGGUAAUACGUAGGGUGCAAGCGUUGUCCGGAUUUAUUGGGCGUAAAGAGCUCGUAGGCGGUCUGUCGCGUCGGAUGUGAAAACUUGGGGCUCAACCCUGAGCUUGCAUUCGAUACGGGCAGACUAGAGGAUGGCAGGGGAGACUGGAACUCCUGGUGUAGCGGUGGAAUGCGCAGAUAUCAGGAAGAACACCGGUGGCGAAGGCGGGUCUCUGGGCCAUUACUGACGCUGAGGAGCGAAAGCGUGGGGAGCAAACAGGAUUAGAUACCCCUGUAGUC